rnacentral:rRNA from 1 species
CUCCUACGGGAGGCAGCAGUGGGGAAUAUUGCACAAUGGGGCGCAAGCCUGAUGCAGCCAUGCCGCGUGUGUGAAGAAGGCCUUCGGGUUGUAAAGCACUUUCAGUCGUGAGGAAGGUAGUGUAGUUAAUAGCUGCAUUAUUUGACGUUAGCGACAGAAGAAGCACCGGCUAACUCCGUGCCAGCAGCCGCGGUAAUACGGAGGGUGCGAGCGUUAAUCGGAAUUACUGGGCGUAAAGCGCAUGCAGGUGGUUUGUUAAGUCAGAUGUGAAAGCCCGGGGCUCAACCUCGGAAUUGCAUUUGAAACUGGCAGACUAGAGUACUGUAGAGGGGGGUAGAAUUUCAGGUGUAGCGGUGAAAUGCGUAGAGAUCUGAAGGAAUACCGGUGGCGAAAGGCGGCCCCCUGGACAGAUACUGACACUCAGAUGCGAAAAGCGUGGGGAGCAAACAGGAUUAGAUACCCUGGUAGGAUAGCC